UGACGUAAGGGUCAAAAGUCAUUUCGAUUCGAGCUUGCUCGAAAUCGAAUAUGAAUUUAUGACCCGCAAAACAUGAGCAAAGUAGCACGUAGUGCGGAUUUGCGAAUGUUUUAGGGCGCAAGACAUCCGGGGGAUGUCUGCUUUGCGCCG
rfam:Butyrivibrio fibrisolvens DSM 3071 genome assembly, contig: EJ22DRAFT_scaffold00036.36